GGGGAAGGUCAUUACCUAGAGUUGUAGGCUUUGCCUGCUAUCUCUUACCCAUGUCUUUUGAGUACCUUACGUUUCCUCGGUGGGUUCGCCCACCGAUUGGACAAAUUUAAACCCUUUGCAGUUGAAAUCAGCGUCUGAAAAAACUUAAUAGUUACAACUUUCAACAACGGAUCUCUUGGUUCUGGCAUCGAUGAAGAACGCAGCGAAAUGCGAUAAGUAGUGUGAAUUGCAGAAUUCAGUGAAUCAUCGAAUCUUUGAACGCACAUUGCGCCCCUUGGUAUUCCAUGGGGCAUGCCUGUUCGAGCGUCAUUUGUACCUUCAAGCUCUGCUUGGUGUUGGGUGUUUGUCUCCUGUAGACUCGCCUCAAAACAAUUGGCAGCCGGCGUAUUGAUUUCGGAGCGCAGUACAUCUCGCGCUUUGCACUCAUAACGACGACAUCCAAAAGUACAUUUUUACACUCUUGACCUCGGAUCAGGUAGGGAUACCCGCU
rnacentral:rRNA from 1 species